rnacentral:tRNA from 1 species
GGUGGCUCAGUGGUAGAGUGCUUGUCUUGCAUGCAUGAGGCACUGGGUUCGAUUCCUCAGCACCA